CUUGACGAUAUCUGGAGUGAACUACAAUC
rnacentral:piRNA from 1 species